rnacentral:ncRNA from 1 species
CUUGAGACGAUGAGGGGAAGCAGUAGCGGGAAACGCCUUUUUCAGAGAGCCGGCGGGUGGUGCGAGCCGGCAGGGGCGUCCGUGAAUCCGUCCCUGAGCAGCCGGGCUGAACCAAGCAGUAGGCCCGGCCGGCACAUGGACCGUUAUUCCAUUGAGCGGGCCGCGAUCUGCGGCCAAUCAGGGUGGCAACGCGGGUGGCUCUCGUCCCUUUU